UACAGAGGGUGCGAGCGUUAAUCGGAAUUACUGGGCGUAAAGCGAGUGUAGGCGGUGUGGUAAGUCGGAUGUGAAAGCCCCGGGCUCAACCCGGGAAGUGCACUCGAUACUGCCACGCUAGAGUAUCGGAGAGGUUGGUGGAAUUCUCGGUGUAGAGGUGAAAUUCGUAGAUAUCGAGAGGAACACCGGUGGCGAAGGCGGCCAACUGGACGAAUACUGACGCUGAGACUCGAAAGCGUGGGGAGCAAACAGG
rnacentral:rRNA from 1 species